UAGCAUAUCAAUAAGCGGAGGAAAAGAAACCAACCGGGAUUGCCUCAGUAACGGCGAGUGAAGCGGCAAGAGCUCAAAUUUGAAAGCUGGCUCCUUCGGGGUCCGCAUUGUAAUUUGCAGAGGAUGCUUCGGGUGCGGCCCCUGUCUAAGUGCCCUGGAACGGGCCGUCAGAGAGGGUGAGAAUCCCGUCUGGGAUGGGGUGUCCGCGCCCGUGUGAAGCUCCUUCGACGAGUCGAGUUGUUUGGGAAUGCAGCUCUAAAUGGGUGGUAAAUUUCAUCUAAAGCUAAAUACUGGCCGGAGACCGAUAGCGCACAAGUAGAGUGAUCGAAAGAUGAAAAGCACUUUGAAAAGAGAGUUAAAAAGCACGUGAAAUUGUUGAAAGGGAAGCGCUUGCGACCAGACUCGCCUCCAGGGUUCAGCCGGCAUUCGUGCCGGUGUACUUCCCUGGGGGCGGGCCAGCGUCGGUUUGGGCGGCCGGUCAAAGGCUCCCGGAAUGUAGUGCCCUCCGGGGCACCUUAUAGCCGGGAGUGCAAUGCGGCCAGCCUGGACCGAGGAACGCGCUUCGGCACGGACGCUGGCAUAAUGGUCGUAAACGACCCGUCUUGAAACACGGACCAAGGAGUCUAACAUCUACGCGAGUGUUCGGGUGUCAAACCCGUACGCGCAGUGAAAGCGAACGGAGGUGGGAGCCCCCUCGUGGGGCGCACCAUCGACCGAUCCUGAUGUCUUCGGAUGGAUUUGAGUAAGAGCGUAAAUGUGGGGACCCGAAAGAUGGUGAACUAUGCCUGAAUAGGGCGAAGCCAGAGGAAACUCUGGUGGAGGCUCGCAGCGGUUCUGACGUGCAAAUCGAUCGUCAAAUUUGGGUAUAGGGGCGAAAGACUAAUCGAACCAUCUAGUAGCUGGUUCUGCCA
rnacentral:rRNA from 1 species